rnacentral:rRNA from 1 species
GAUCCUGGCUCAGGAUGAACGCUAGCGGCAGGCUUAACACAUGCAAGUCGAGGGGCAGCAUGACGGAACCUUCGGGUUUUGUCGAUGGCGACCGGCGCAAGGGUGCGUAACGCGUGAGCAACUUGCCCUUAUCAGGGGGAUAACCGUUGGAAACGACGACUAAUACCCCAUAGUAUCACUUUAAGGCAUCUUUUAGUGAUUAAAGAACUUCGGAUAAGGAUAGGCUCGCGUGACAUUAGCUAGAUGGCGGGGUAACGGCCCACCAUGGCGACGAUGUCUAGGGGUUCUGAGAGGAAGGUCCCCCACACUGGAACUGAGACACGGUCCAGACUCCUACGGGAGGCAGCAGUGAGGAAUAUUGGUCAAUGGUCGAGAGACUGAACCAGCCAUGCCGCGUGAAGGUCACGGCCCUAUGGGUCUUAAACUUCUUUUGUAAGGGAGCAAUAAGGUUCACGUGUGGACUGAUGAGAGUACCUUACGAAUAAGCAUCGGCUAACUCCGUG